rnacentral:lncRNA from 1 species
CAAGACCAAUCUGGCCAACAUGGUGAAACCCUGUUUCUACUAAAAAUACAAAAAUUAGCUGGUCAUGGUGGUGUGCUCCUGUAAUCCCAGCUACUUGGGAGGCUGAGGCAGGAGAAUCACUUGAACCUGGGAGGCGGAGGUGGCAGUGAGCUGAGAUCACGCCACUGCACUCCAGCCUGGGUGAUAACAGUAAGACUCUGUCUCAAAAAAAAAAAAAAAAAAAAAAAGAAGAAGAAGAAGUUCAUCUGUGUCCAAGAAUUCUGAGAUAAUAAUACAGAGAUGACGUAUUGCUAUGCUGUUUGGGCUGGUCUUUGAACUCCUGGCCUCAAGCAAUCCUCCUACCUCAGCCUCCCAAUGUGCUG